UACGGAGGAUGCAAGCGUUAUCCGGAAUGAUUGGGCGUAAAGCGUCCGCAGGUGGCAUUUCAAGUCUGCGGUCAAAGGUCGAGGCUCAACCUCGAACAGGCCGUGGAAACUGAAAAGCUAGAGUGUGGUAGGGGCAGAGGGAAUUCCCAGUGUAGCGGUGAAAUGCGUAGAGAUUGGUAAGAACACCGGUGGCGAAAGCACUCUGCUGGGCCGUCACUGACACUCAGAGACGAAAGCUAGGGGAGCGAAUGGG
rnacentral:rRNA from 1 species